GAUUGAUUUUGGAGUCCCAGCAACCCUCAUCUCUUAGUCCUUAUAUUGCAUGCAGGUCCACAGGAAGAGAGGGUUGGCACUCAAAGGAUCACAGUUUCUAUCCCACGUCAUCACUCUUACUGACCACUCUGGCUCUGGGGAUGCUGCAUCUCUCUGAAAUCCACCCAGUUGCGGGAAAUACUGAGAGUUUAGGCCUACUUCCCAUUAUCUGAAUAAAAUAGAUAACAUCGUUUUUUCUUUUCCAAGAAAAUGGAAAUCAAGCCCACUGUUUUGUGUUAUCAGUUUAACCGCUGAGUUGAGGUGUCACCAGCAAGUACUGAGCUUUAACUGUUUCCAAAUGGGGCUUCUGAGAGGCACUGAGUUGGCAUCUACCAAGGACUUGGUCUACACAUAGAGGGAAGACAGAGACCAGGAAACACUCAUCUUUCUGCAAUUCAACUCUGGGCUCCAUCUUGAAGGAAAUGAAUGCAUGAAGAACAUUCUUAACCUAGUAUGUCUACGGCCAUACCACCCUAGGCGUGCCCAAUCUCGUCUGAACCCAGUACGUGACAUGCCCUAUGCUGAUGCUUUCAUAUGCGUUACCUUAUUUAAUCCUCAUGACUUCCACAUUAAUAAUAAUUACCUAUGAUGUGAGAGGGUCAUUAUACCAAUUUUAUGAAGAAAAUAUGGCUCAAAGAAAUAAUUUUUAAGUAGCAACACCAACAUUUGGAAUCUUCUUGAAACUUCUAACUCCUAGAAGACCACCAUGCUGUAUUUUUGGUCUACAAAUUUAAAUGGAAUAGUAUCUAAUGUUGGGGAAAACGGGAGGAAUGAAGGGUGACUGCUAAAGAGUACAGGAUUUCUUUUAGUGGUGAUGAAAAUGUUCUAAAAUUGACAGUGAUGACCAUUGCUCAACUCCAUGAGGACUCUAAAAUUCAUUGAAUUGUAUAUUUUAAAUGGGUGAAUUGUAUGGCAUGUGAGUUAUAACCACACAGAGCUGUUACAAAUAAGUAAUAUUUAAUGGAGG
rnacentral:lncRNA from 1 species